ensembl:misc_RNA predicted gene, 27605
CUUUCUCCUCUCCUGCCCAGAGACUGUUUCAGGUGGGUGAGCAUAUGGUAUAAAUGUUUUUCAAAACCAGCUGAAAUCUCACUCCGUCUCUUCCACUGAAGCAGUCUGGGCGCUUUAUGGCAAAUUGACGG